rnacentral:lncRNA from 1 species
GUGUCGGAUUACUAAUAUUCGUGUGUCGGUCCAAUGGGUCGUCGGACUAAUAGGGCGUCAGGCUAUUGGGGUGUCGGACCAAUAUGGUGUCCGAACAGAAAGAUUUAAAAGGCAAAAAAAAAUAAAAAAAUGUGCAACUUAUAAAAGGGUCUGGUCUGGAAGUGGUUUCUUCAUUUCUGUAUUCUGUAAUAUUCUAUACCAUUUUUCACUUUUUAUUAUUAAUUUUGCCUGUUAUUCUCUUUUCUUCAUAUUCAAGCACCACACUAUUAUCGAUUCUUCAUUGCUUUUGUCUACUUUAUAACAACAAUGGGAAUAAUAUGAAAGCCAGCCAAAUAGGACAUUGGAAAAUUGUCUGUUUUCUGUUUCUUGGUUUAUUCUUGCUUGUCGUUGGAGGCAAACUUUUGUCUUUCUGUCUCUUUAGUUUGUGUGUAUUAUUAUAAAUUAAACGAAUGUAACACAAAUU